AGUGAACGCUGGCGGUAGGCCUAACACAUGCAAGUCGAACGGCAGCACAGUAAGAGCUUGCUCUUACGGGUGGCGAGUGGCGGACGGGUAAGGAAUACAUCGGAAUCUACUUUUUCGUGGGGGAUAACGUAGGGAAACUUACGCUAAUACCGCAUACGACCUACGGGUGAAAGCAGGGGAUCUUCGGACCUUGCGCGAUUGAAUGAGCCGAUGUCGGAUUAGCUAGUUGGGGGGGUAAAGGCCCACCAAGGCGACGAUCCGUAGCUGGUCUGAGAGGAUGGUCAGCCACACUGGAACUGAGACACGGUCCAGCCUCCUACGGGAGGCAGCAGUGGGGAAUAUUGGACAAUGGGCGCAAGCCUGAUCCAGCCAUACCGCGUGGGUGAAGAAGGCCUUCGGGUUGUAAAGCCCUUUUGUUGGGAAAGAAAAGCAGCAGGUUAAUACCCCGCUGUUCUGACGGUACCCAAAGAAUAAGCACCGGCUAACUUCGUG
rnacentral:rRNA from 1 species